AGCGCUGUUGAACCACUUUUCACGAUGGAGGUCUUGAAGGCUUGUGCACUUAGAAGAAAUGCAUGUACUGCGGCUUGCUUCUGGAGAAGCAAAGUUAUGCAGAAGCCUUCGGCCAGGAAGAUUAGUACUACCUCUCCAAGGAGCACGAUCAUGCCUGCGUGGGUGAUAGAUAAAUACGGGAAGAAUGAAGUUCUUCGAUUCAAUCAGAACAUGAUGUUACCUAUCAUACAUUAUCCAAAUGAAGUUAUUAUAAAAGUCCAUGCUGCCAGCGUAAAUCCUAUAGAUGUUAAUAUGAGAAACGGCUAUGGAGCAACAGCGUUAAAUAUGAAGCGUGAUCCUUUGCACAUGAAAACCAAGGGGGAAGAGUUUCCUCUGACUCUGGGCCGGGAUGUCUCUGGCGUGGUGAUGGAGUGUGGGCUUAGUGUGAAGUAUUUCAAGCCUGGCGAUGAGGUCUGGGCUGCGGUUCCUCCGUGGAAACAAGGCACUUUCUCUGAAUUUGUUGUAGUCAGUGGAAAUGAGGUUUCUCACAAGCCCAAAUCACUCUCUCAUACCCAAGCUGCGUCUUUGCCAUAUGUGGCACUCACGGCCUGGUCUGCCAUAAACAAGAUUGGUGGCCUGCAUGACAAGAACUGUGCAGGAAAACGGGUUUUAAUCUUGGGUGCUUCUGGCGGGGUCGGUACUUUUGCAAUACAGGUGAUGAAAGCGUGGGAUGCUCACGUGACAGCAGUUUGCUCGAAAGACGCCAGCGAGCUCGUCAGGAAGCUUGGGGCAGAUGAUAUCAUUGAUUACAAAUCUGGAAGUGUAGAAGAACAGCUCAGAUCCUUAAAACCGUUUGAUUUCAUCCUUGACAAUGUUGGUGGCUCCACAGAAACAUGGGCUCUGAAUUUUCUCAAGAAAUGGUCAGGAGCCACCUAUGUGACUUUGGUGACUCCUUUCCUGCUGAACAUGGACCGCCUGGGCAUCGCAGACGGCAUGCUGCAGACGGGGUUCACCGUCGGCACCAAGGCGUUGAAGCAUUUCUGGCAAGGAGUCCAUUAUCGCUGGGCCUUUUUCAUGGCCAGUGGUCUACAUCUAGAUGAAAUUGCAAAGCUGGUAGAUGCAGGAAAGGGACUGGACGUCUCCUCUAUCCCUUUGCACCUGCGAGUCCUGAAGAUGCCAAGCCUGUCGCCUGUCACGGAGGUCAGAGCGUCCCCAUCUAAGAAGAGGUGCUGGGUGUGGUCCGGGGCCAUCCGUGGGUGCGGGGAGCUCUGAGGUCCUGUUGGUGUCAUCUGUCCACCUGCGCCACACACCCCAUGCUUUGGGGGUCCAGGGAAGAGCUGCACAGAUGGUGACCCCCAGACCACAGCUGUCACAGUUGGCAGUCAGAUCGGGUGUCCUGGUCUGAUUUUGGCUCUGCCUCUGACAGCUCUGAUGUCACAAGAACCAUUCCGCCCCUUGCGUGUCAGCUUCCUAAUCCGCAGCAUGGGCUCUCAGAUCGUUUUUCAGCACCGCUGUUCUUUCUUGUUGGGAACUGGAGCAUUAGGGGAACCCGCUGCCUUCUGCCAUGCCUGCCUAUGUGCUGUGCUGCGCCCAGAACACCAGUUCCAGAGGGUGAAAAAUGGGCCAUCAGAGCCCAGAGAGCUCGCCUAGGGCCUGGUGGGGCACCAUGUUGUAAGGCCAGAUUUCAGGAGGGUGAGGUUUCCCUGGUCCAGUUAUACACUGUAAUGGUCACACAGCAGGUGCCCAGGCUUGGUUCUGGCUCGGCGUGGCCUUGAGGAAGAUAAGGUCCCCCUAGGAGCCCCCCGUGCACAUCCAGGCCUGGAGGAGCGUUGCCCCCGGGGCCUCUCCUGGUCCCCCGUGAGCUUGGCGUCUGCUGCGGGAAGGUGGUGCUGGGCCUGCCCACUUUAUAACAGCUGCCCGUGCCAGGUGGACAACAGCAGUGUCAUCACAUAAAUGUCCCCACUUCACUGCGAGUAGCCUUUCUAUCCCCUCUCUGGAUUUUAACUGCAACCCCUUUGUCCUUGACAAACACGCAUUCUGGGUCUGAUGUGAGGCUCUGCAUAGACACUGUGACAUUAUCCAGAUAAUCUCCACUUGCUGUCACCUAUUCAGCCAACUGUGGCAUUUGCCUGCCUCUGAUCCAAAGCCCCUUUUCAUUGUCUCUUACAGGAACUGCUGAGUGACUCACUAUGCCAGGGUCAGCAAUAGGUCUGACCAGAGCUCGCAGCCUCUGCCGGGGUCAUCGGGUCAGCCGGGGUGGCUCCCGGCAGUGCUCUGUGGCCUAGGCGGCUCAUUCUGGAGCGGAGCCCUCUCUGUGUCCCUGCUCCGGGUUAGUGCCUAGCCCUUAGAAGGCAGCGCUUAGCAGGUCUUUGUGGAGUGGCUGAGAAUGUGUCUGAGAAUAGGCAGAAGGCGCCAGUGACCCCACUGCAGUGAGCACUGCUCUGCUCUCCAGGAAGCCCACGGAAAGGGCACUGUCCUUCCUCACCCUGGAGUUGGGUGAUCUCACUGGAGAGUAGGACAGCGUGUUGAGCCUGCAUUGAGGUCCUUCCUCCGCUAGGUAAACAGCAUCUACAGGCCAGGCGGUGACUCCCAGUGCUCGAGAGGCUGAGGCAGGAGAGUCACUGCAAGCUCCAUGCCAGCCUGAACUGCAUAGCGAGACCCUGUCUCAAAAAGACCAAAACAAAACAAACGUCACCUAGAAAACGGCGUCCCAGGGUGCUAAACAAGGCAGCGGGCUUCCUGUGGGACACACAGGGCUCCAGUGGGUCCUCGCAGCUGCAGCGUGGGGGAAGGCUCUGAGGCCGUGCUCAGCGGGCUGGGCUGUCCGUCAGUGAGCUCCCCUGCAGGCACAUGGGAGUGUUGGCACACAUUUGUCACCUCGGUGGCCUGGACAUAGCUGGCGGGCCAAGACACAGGCUACAAGAAGCAUGCUGACCUCCAGCUUUCACUCCCGGAGAGGAACAGAAGGUGAGACAGAGGCGGAGGGUUUCCACGUUGUCACCAUUUAAUGUGGCACUUAGUAACGUAUUUAACUUUGCUUCAUUUGUAAAUGAAGCGUAAGGGUUACCCUCCCUCAGAGGGGGCAAUGGCCCUCAGUGAGGUUAAAUGUGGAGACCUUGGCACAGUGCCUGGCAUGGAGGGAAGAGAGUGGAGUGGCUGUUUCUCCGGAGCUUGUGGUGACUUGUGGAUGGACAAGAACUUUGAGGCCUCUGCAGAAGGGAGCACACCCGAGUCCGAGAUGCUCUUUGGGUGGGUGAGCACUGACAGCCACACUAGAAGUUGCGGCAGACGCAUCUGAAUCAUGGGAGGACGAGCAAGUUGGCUUGUGCCUUCUGUCCCUGCCAGUGGGGCUGGGCAGGCAGCCGAGCGAGGACCUUGUGGCCACUUGAAGUUCUGCUUGAUGUUUUGUAGACGGGGAGUUUGGUUAGGUUUUUGCAUGGGGCGUGGUGUCACCUAGGACCUGGUUUCAGAAGCAGGUUGCUGACAGUGCUAACAGUGGAGCGGCGGCCCGGCAGCACUGACACUGAUGCUUGGGCUGGAACGGCGCUCCUAGCCUUAGCCAAUGCCCCGCCGCUCAGCGGAGCAGCCUAGGAAUACAAAGGCGGUCCCUGUAUCAUGAGCGCUGUGGACUCUGCUUGGUAAAUCGUCUCUGCGCCUCUGUGCACCGUGUUCACAGCAGGGACUUUGGGCCCCCGUCGUUAGAUUCAGCCAGUGAUUGAACAAACGUUCCCUUUCUCUAAAGUUCCGGAAGCCUUCCUGAAGGUGGAAAGAGGACACGCACGAGGAAAGACUGUAAUUAAUGUCAUUUAAAUAAACGCUCAUGCCGAUGGUA